AUGCAUCUUUGACAAACCUGGAGCAAUUAAUGACUGCUUCUGAGGUUUCCACUACAGAUGCAAGAGAAAAUAUCUUCACACUUUGUCUGAAUGUGGCAGCCAAGUUUCAAUGAGGGAAUACAGGA